UCUAGGGUCUCUCUCAGUGUCUCCUGAUGGAGCUGUUUUACUUAAAGAAAAAAAAUAGACUAGAAAGAGGGGAAGAGAGUGACAGAAACUGACUGCUUCUGUAGCACAGUGGGUGUAGCACUCAUGUAGAAAGUAUUACACCCUACUCCAAUAAUUUUUUAUUGAUUUGCAUGAAGUGGACAGAGGAAGGAUCAACUGACCCACUUAUAUACCUGGCUGUUAAUGGAUAGGGCACUUAUUUGGGAAGUUAAAAAGGUAGGUCUACCACAUUCCAGGUAUCUGCCAUUACUAGGACAUUGACUGUUUUGAUUUGGGGUUUCUCUCUCUCUCUGAAAAAAUGUGAAAGGUUUGUUCUGAUGUGGAACUUGUAUGUUUUUUAAAUUUCAAGAACCUGUCCUGUUCUGUUUUUUGAGUGGGAGAAUGGGUUUAUCUGUUGGCCUCCAGGACCUUGGUGCUUAACUUACCAUAUUGACUGGCUGUUGAACCCAGUACAUUAGCAUUUCUUUUCAUUUAAAGAAAAGUUUGGGUUGGUUUAGGCUGUGAUUAUUUUAUUUUCUAGCUUCCCUUGUCUUUGCAGGGGAGUACAGUUAAUGCCUGGAUUUUGACCUCUCACUUCUUCAUUGCUAAAAAGUGUUGUGACAAUUUUUUUUUCUUUACGUAGAGUUGACAGGUAGACUUGAAAUCAAAGGACUUUAUUAGUAGCCAUUCAUUUUAAAGGGUAAAAUGGAAUUAAUGCGUGUAUGGUAAAGGUUAAGUUGCAUCACUUAUACUUAUUCUAAACAUCUUUAGAUAAACUGCACCACUUUGUAUAAGGAUAAUUGUGCAUUGCAUUCAGUUUUAAUUAAUUAGGGAAUAACUAUUUUACAGAUUUUUUUUCUCCACAGAGUACUUUGUGUUUAACAGUUUAGAUUAAGGAUCUAAUUAAGAUUAAGAUGGUUGAAAGUUGUUCUUUGACUUUUCCCUGCCAAGUACCAAACACUUCCCAAAGGUUCUCUUUGAAACAAAAGUGCAACAACUUCAAUGAGUGGCAAGUUCUUGACAGUUAAUUGAACCUGGUAUAAAUGCUAGUAUCCUAUGGUGUGGAGAGCUGUACUUUGGCAUUAAUUUUAGGUGAGUGGAAU